GGUGAACGCUGGCGGUAGGCCUAACACAUGCAAGUCGAACGGCAGCACAGGAGAGCUUGCUCUCUGGGUGGCGAGUGGCGGACGGGUGAGGAAUACAUCGGAAUCUACUUUUUCGUGGGGGAUAACGUAGGGAAACUUACGCUAAUACCGCAUACGACCUACGGGUGAAAGCAGGGGACGUUCGGGCCUUGCGCGAUUGAAUGAGCCGAUGUCGGAUUAGCUAGUGGGCGGGGUAAAGGCCCACCAAGGCGACGAUCCGUAGCUGGUCUGAGGGGAUGAUCAGCCACACUGGAACUGAGACACGGUCCAGACUCCUACGGGAGGCAGCAGUGGGGAAUAUUGGACAAUGGGCGCAAGCCUGAUCCAGCCAUACCGCGUGGGUGAAGAAGGCCUUCGGGUUGUAAAGCCCUUUUGUUGGGAAAGAAAUCCAGCUGGCUAAUACCCGGUUGGGAUGACGGUACCCAAAGAAUAAGCACCGGCUAACUGCGUGCCAGCCGCCGCCGUAA
rnacentral:rRNA from 1 species